UACGGGGGGGGCAAGCGUUGUUCGGAAUUACUGGGCGUAAAGGGCUCGUAGGCGGCCCACUAAGUCCGACGUGAAAUCCCCAGGCUUAACUUGGGAACUGCGUCGGAUACUGGUGGGCUUGAAUCCGGGAGAGGAAAGUGGAAUUCCUGGUGUAGCGGUGAAAUGCGUAGAUAUCAGGAGGAACACCGGUGGUGUAAACGGCUUUCUGGACCAUAACUGACGCUGAGGCACGAAAGCGUGGGUAGCAAACAGG
rnacentral:rRNA from 1 species